AGACCUCUAAUCGAAA
rnacentral:rRNA from 1 species